UUGACCUCGGAUCAGGUAGGAAUACCCGCUGAACUUAAGCAUAUCAAUAAGCGGAGGAAAAGAAACCAACAGGGAUUGCCCUAGUAACGGCGAGUGAAGCGGCAACAGCUCAAAUUUGAAAUCUGGCUCUCGGGCCCGAGUUGUAAUUUGUAGAGGAUGCUUUUGGUGCGGUGCCUUCCGAGUGCCCUGGAACGGGACGCCAUAGAGGGUGAGAGCCCCGUCUGGUUGGA
rnacentral:rRNA from 1 species